rnacentral:lncRNA from 1 species
GUGUCCUUCUUUGCCACACUGAUAAUAGGUAUCCUUGGCUGAGACUUUUUUUGCCUUCUUCUUCGAGAUACUAGCCUUAGGGUUCAACUUUUUCUUAGAACCCUUCUUGCCUUUUUUUCUUGGAGAUCUUAUCUACAAGAAGAACAUGAGCCUUAUCACUCUUGAAAUGGCUCUCUGCUGUCUUUACCAUAUUGAGCAACUCA